AUCGGCUCCGCAGGCCCGCCCGGUGGUGACCUUCCUGCUUCUUCCUCUUCCUCAGCUCAGAUCAGAUCAGAUGGUUUUGGUGGGUAACAAGGAUGAUAGUUUUUGUUGUUGCUGAUCCUUUCUGGGUUAGAUCUGCCAAAGAUGGCUUUUGUGUGUAACAGAUCCAAGAGGCUAGCCUUGCUUCAUCCUUACUUCCCCACUUAGAUCUGCCAAGCAACUUUACUAGUUUAAAUUAUGGUGCCCUUCUGUUUCUGUCUACCUUGUUGCGAUGAAUUGUGGCUAAUCACCUGUGAAUUUGCAAUCACCAUAUAUGAUAUGUGCCUUGUGGGGACUGAGGGUACAGUUUUGUUACUUGUUCUGCCGACUUAGAUGUGUCUAUGAGCAUUCAUAGUGCAGUUUUGCAUCAUGCUAGCUCCAUCUUUUACUUAAUUGUUAUAGUUACUGCAUUUUGGAGAACCGAGUAUCCCUUUCAAAGUAUAGCUCACCUUGUCUAUCUAGGAGAAAGUAGAGCUAGCCUAGUUGAGCUACGCGGGAAGGAGCUAUGUUAUUUGUUUGGUGAAUACGUUCAACGCCCACAUUGUGCAGUUCGUGUCCUUAGCAGGCGCACCAAGUUUGUUUGCCGCUGAUUUGGCUCUCCUUACCAGGCAAUGAUUUCUUGGUCGUUGAGAGCAAUCUUGCCAGGCUCAAGAAAUAUAUCAUUUUACCAAAUGCCUCCCCUUGCCAAGCUAGGUUAUAACUUCUUUUGCCUUAAAUCCAAAUACACCCUGAGUGUUUUUUUUUUUAAAUUUAGCCAGAGCUUUGCAAUAGUACCAGAAUUCUACAUCUACGCCGUGCACCGGCAAGAUGGUGCUUCCUUACCAAAUACUCCUACUAUCUUGAUAUUCAUAGAAACACGUAAGAGAGUUAUUUUUUUGGUUACUCCUUGACGAUGGCUAUUUAGUUAUUCUAAAUUUCCGAGCAGUUGAAUCUCUUUGAAAAUGUCUUGUGAAAAUGAUAUGUGUCUUUAAAGGAUUUUAGGUCUUAUUGGUUUACUUAUAGUUAGAACCAAGAAGGCCUGGUGUUUGUUCUGAUGUGACUAUGUGCACAAACUACAGGCUGUAACAAGGCCUCUUAUGAUUUUUCUCAAGUUGUAUUUAAGUUUUGAAGGAUAUUGCCUCACGUGUAUGUUUUGUUAAGCAUUGACAGCAAUAGCAUACAUGUAAUAAUAGUUGCUAAUCUUGCCUGCAAUAAAUAUCCUCUCUAUGUUUAGUACUCCCUCAGUUCCAAAUUAUAAGAUGUUCUAACUUUUUUCUGUUACUGUGUUUGUUCACUCAUUAAAGUCCGUAUGUAGUCCAUAUUGAAAUAUCCAAAACAUCUUAUAAUUCCGAACGUAGGUAACACAAUAGAAGCCAUGUUCACCAUGCUUUGUUGUUUGACCUGUGGUAUAGAAGUUUUUAAUCUUUGUCAGAAUAAUGAAUGUUCAAUGAUCAACUAGAUUUAUUGUCAUUAAUCUAGGUACUACCUAUUAAAUCUGGAAUUUCAUCCUUAUGCGACCAUUGACGCAACUUUUGGCACAUGUCGUGUUGUUAUUUUUGGCGAGGUUGCAUGUUCAUAGUGCAGUUCUAUUUGUCUGAGCCUAUUGCAAAACCUGCGAAUAUACUUUUCAGAGUUGUUUUGUAUCAUUCUGAAGAGGAGAGAACAUAUAGUUUGUUCGAUGUAAGUGGUAAGUUGUGCAUUUUAUUUUCACUGGAAAAAGUAGUCAAACGAAGACAUGAAAUUCUAUGGUGAAGAGAAUUGCAUGCACAUAUGCUAUCGAGAAAAUCAUGUGUUUUUGCACCGGGGAGAGGUUAGUUUUGCAUGCUCAUUAGUAGUGGUAUCAAGAACAGCAUAUGCUCCCAAGAGCCGGAUUGGAUGCUCUUCCUGCACAAGCCAAAUGGAUUAACUGAUUUAUGUUGUUCAGCGAUCCCUGCCAAAUCCCUGUGUUUUCUUCUGCGUGGUGUGAUAUCCUAUGGUCCGUCCUGCAGGUUGAUAAGUUAAGCGAAGCUUUGCGCCCUAUUUUUCUUGUACUCCCUCCGUGUUAAAAUAUAAUAUGCUUUUUAGGCUAGUUUAUCCUAUAAAAAUGUUUAAAAUUUUGGUACAAAGGUAGUACUUGCUAAUGAUAAGUUGAGCAAAGCUUUGCACCCUUUUCAAGAAAAAGUAAAUGAUCCUGAUCUCCACUAAGAUACUCUCGACUGGCGUUUGUGAAACUUGACUAGUUUCAAGUGAUGGUUUAGGACUAGAAGUGAAUGCUUGCUGUGGUACAUAAAUAUUUGAGUAAUUUUAACACGCUCUCUUUUACUCUCUCUUUUCAGAUGGGACGUAAGUAAGCUAAGAGUUAAUCAGAUAAAUACUUAAUCAAAUCAAUGGCUCAUAUCUAUUAUGAACUCUUACCUUUCAUGUGAAAAGGGGAGGUAAGAAGAACCAUGCUAAAAUUUGCCAAAAUAUUUAGGGCUCUCAACGAGCCUAGCUCCGAGUGAAUAUUGUUGGGCUCGGUCUGCUAGGGCUCUGAGGUUGGCCCGAAAGAAGCUCGCGAAGACUACAAAGCCCUGUAACUUCAAAACAAAUUAGGGGCUAACCGCCGUCUAUGGUUAGGCAGAUCCUAUUUGACGGCCCAGAGCCAAAGGCCCAAACCGUCCAAGGAUGCCAUUACCUAAAGGGUUCCUAACACAACAUCACUUUCCCUCUCGUUAGGGUUUUUCUCCUCCCGGAGGCGAUCUGCGCGCCGUCGAGAUCUCUUUCCCUGCCUCCGUCGUGCCUUCCCCUGAUUCGCACUGGCGUAUCGAGGGAGUGCGGGGGUUUAGGGCCGAGUCUACAAGGUCCGAUCGAGUUGAAAGUCGGGCUAGUGAUCGAGAUUCAUCAAGCGGGGCUCCUGAGAAAGCGUCAGCAGAGCAGGAGGAUACCGAUGAGGUGGAGAAGAUGAUGAAGGAAUUGGGAUUGAGGGAGGAGGAUCUGGAUGAUGUCGUGUUUGAUGAGAAGGAGGCGCCGCCAGAUGCAGUCAGGUGGAUCGCUUUGGCUAGGGUACUCAAGCAAAACAUAUAGUUAGUUUUGGUUUUUCAAAAACAUGAGGGCCGCGUGGGAUCUCGCGCAAGAAGUAAAGUUCAAACCCCUGGAGGAAAACCUAUACACGAUCCAAUUCUCAUGCUUAGGUGAUUGGGAGCGAGUCACUUUGGAGGGUCCAUGGCACUUUAGAGGAGAUGCAGUGAUCAUCAAACCGUACGAUGGGCUUGUUAAACCUUCGAUUGUGCCACUUGAUUCCAUAGAGAUAUGGGUGCAGAUUCAUGACAUCCUAGAUUUGUUUGCACAUCUAGUUCCGUCCCUUGCAGCAAAAAUUGGAGAGGUACUGUAUGCAGAACCCAAUUCUCAGGAUUUUGUUGGCAAUUUUCACCGGGUUUGGGUGAAGAUCGAUGUCAUGAAGCCCCUAAAGAAUGCUGUAUCCUUGAUCCGUGACGGCAAACGUCAGAUCUACCGCGUCAAAUACGAGAAGUUACCUGACUGGUGCGCUGUGUGCGGUAAGCUAGGGCAUCUGUUCAAAGAACAUGGCAACGGAAUCCACCCACCCUCGGCGCUGGUGUUUAAAGAGCUCAGAGCAACCUGGGCUAUGAGAACUGGACGUGGCCCUGGUAGCGGAAGUGGUCGCAGAGGGGGACGCAGAGGAGGCCGCAAUGGAGGCCGUGGCCGAACUGAGCAGGAAAGAUCUGAAGAAGCUGCAGGUUUUGACAAGCAGGUUGCAAGUGUUGAUUCAGAGAUGUUAGAUGCAGAAAACACCAGGAAGAGAACUCCAACUUUGGUGCAGCGGGUGGCACCUCAAGCGCCUCCCAGCCUAGAGCAUGCAAUACAGCUUGCUCUUCCUGCUUCGGGUGCACCACCUAGUCCUAGCAGCUCACAGGAUCAGAAGAGGGCAAAGGUAGAUGUGGAAUCUGAGAAGAACAGCUCGAUGAAGACGGGCACACAGCAGAAAGGAGAUUUGAAGUUGGCGGCUCCGACGGACGGGCGCCGCCGAGGCCAAUGAGUACCUUUGUGUGGAACUGUCGUGGCGCGGGCAAAGCCGCGAUGGUUCGUGAGCUUCGCGAUUUCGCGAGGGAAUUUGCCCCUACCCUGUUGUGCAUAGUGGAAACACAAAUAGAUGGAGAUAGGGUAGAAGCUUUAUCUGGUACUUUAGGUUAUGAUAAUGCAUAUGCUGUUAGUAGUCAAGGUCGUAGUGGUGGCAUUGGUCUUUUUUGGAAUAAUUCAAUAAAGGUUGAGAUUUUUGGUUAUUCGGUUUACCAUUUGGAUGUUUUGAUAGAGGAGCAAAGCCGGGACAAAUGGAGGUUGACAUGUGUUUAUGGUGAGGCACAAACAAACUUGAGACACCAAACCUGGACAGUUUUGAGAAAUAUCAGUACUUUGAGCUCUAUGCCGUGGCUGUGUAUGGGGGAUUUUAAUGAAGUCUUACGUCCGGAAGAGCACGAAGGUGUAGGGCAGCGAAGCAAUGCUCAAAUUCAAGAUUUCCGAGAUACUAUAGAUAUCUGCAUGUUGCAAGACUUGGGCUUCAAUGGGAACUUCUGGACGUUUGAGAAGAAAGUUGUAGGAGGCAGCUAUACGAGAUGUAGGCUGGACAGAGCUUUAGCAAAUGUCGGCUGGAUGAACAAAUUUCCUAUGGCAUCGGUAUCACACCUCACAUGCGCCACGUCUGACCACUGUCCUCUUUUGAUUGACUUUGGUAAUGCGGAGCAGGUGCAGGUGAAUAGAUCUUUCAAGUAUGAGCUGAUGUGGGAAUCACAUGAAGGGCUAGGGGAUGUGUUAACUAGCGAAUGGGGUGCUGGUCCUCCAUGUUUGUCAGUGGAGGAUAUGAGACAUAAGCUGCAAAAUAUUUCCAAAGGGGUAGCCAAGUGGAGCAGAGACACCUUCGGAAGUGUUAGAAAGGAAAUUAAAAGGUUGAAGUCGGCCCUGGAAGAGAUGCGCGGCGAUCCAGCAAGAACAACCCCAUCACAUGCUGAGCUGAAGUUAAAUGAGAACCUGAUUGAGAUGUACCAUUGAGAGGAAAUAAUGUGGAGGCAGCGGGCAAGGAUAGAAUGGCUUUUCGCGGGUGAUCGCAACACUAAAUUUUUUCAUCUUCAGGCGAGUAUCCGAAGGAAGAAAAACAUGACAAAGGCCCUACAGAACUCCCUAGGUGUUGUGGUUGAUGAUCCGGGUGAACUAAGGGCAAUGGCCUAUGAAUUUUAUCACAGCUUGUACACUUCGGAGGGGGUUCAGAACAUGGAUGCAGUUCUGGAUCAUGUCCCGAGGAAAGUGACAGCGGAGAUGAAUGCGUCCUUGUGUGCUCCAUACACUAACGAUGAGGUUAAGGUUGCUCUCUUUCAGAUGUUUCCAACAAAAGCUCCGGGGCCCGAUGGAUUCCCGGCUCACUUUUACCAAAAGCACUGGGACAUGUGCGGAGAAGAGGUGACACAAAUCAUUUUGAGGAUAGUGCGGGGUGAAGAGAGCCCGGAGUGCAUCAAUGAUACUAUUUUGGUACUCGUCCCCAAGGUAACAAGUCCCACGGCCUUAUCUCGGUAUAGGCCAAUUAGCCUUUGUAAUGUUCUGUACAAAAUAGCAUCCAAGGUGAUUGCAAAUAGGCUGAAGCUCAUCCUGCCAGACAUAAUCUCUGAGGAGCAGUCCGCCUUCGUUCUGGGAAGGUUGAUAACAGAUAAUAUUAUCUCUGCUUAUGAAUGUUUGCACUUUAUGAAGCGAUCCAGAUCUAAAUCAAACAAUUUCUGUGCGCUGAAACUGGACAUGACGAAGGCCUAUGAUCGUGUAGAGUGGGCAUACCUGAGAGCUAUCAUGAGAAAGCUUGGUUUUGCAGGGCCAUGGAUUGAUACUGUUAUGAGCAUGGUGUCUUCGGUUUCAUUCUCGGUUAUGUUCAAUGGAGAAAGACUUGAAUCUUUUCAACCAUCUAGAGGGAUCCGACAGGGAGACCCAAUCUCCCCUACUUAUUCUUGAUUGCAGCAGAGGGCCUUUCGUGCCUCCUUAAAUCAAGUUCUUCGACAUCGUUUGCAGGUAUUCAGGUGGCUCCGACGGCUCCCACCGUCAACCAUCUUUUGUUUGCAGAUGAUAGCCUGUUGCUAUUCAAGGCCAAUGUAGAGGGUGCAGAUGUGGCAUCAAACUUGCUUGAGACCUAUUGUGCAGCUUCGGGUCAGAGGAUUAAUCAUGAGAAGUCCUCCAUUUUUUCAGUAAGAGGUGUCCGGAUACUUUAAAGGAUUCUAUUAAAAACACCUUACAUGUGCAUAAAGAGACUUUGAAUGAGCGCUACCUUGGCAUGCCUACGGAUGUGGGCCGCUCGAAGAAUGGCACUUUCAAAUAUUUGAGGGAUCGAGUUUGGGAGAAGAUCAAAGGGUGGAUGGAGAAGCUCCUGUCCUCGGCAGGUAAAGAAGUCCUAAUCAAGUCGGUUGCCCAAGCAAUACCGGUAUGUUCUAUGUCUUGUUUCAGGUUGCCCAAAGGCAUGUGUGACAAUAUCACCUCAAUCAUAAGACAGUUCUAGUGGGGAAGCAAGCAAGGGAAAAGGAAACCCAGCUGGGUGGCAUGGGACAUUAUGACCAGACCCAAAUAUUUGGGAGGGCUGGGCUUCCGCGACAUGGAGAUCUUCAACUUAGCUCUCCUAGCUCGUCAAGCCUGGAGACUACUAACAUGAGAGCUUAAUUUGAGCGCCCGGAUUUUGAAGGCUGUUUAUUUCCCAGAGGUUUCGAUACUUGAGGCCGAGCUCGGGUCACACCCCUCUCAGAUAUGGCGCUCUAUCCUUGAUGGUCACGAUGUAUUGAUACAAGGCAUUGUAAGAAGAAUCGGCGAUGGUGAAACAAUGGAGGUUUGGAGGCAUAACUGGAUACCGAGCGAUAGGGUAAGGAGGCCCAUAACUUCACUAUCUCAAUACCCACCAAAGCUAGUCUCAGAGCUUAUUGACAGCACCACGGCGUCAUGGAAGGAAGAUCUGGUCAUGGCAACUUUUGCAAGAUUUGAUGCUGAAGAGAUUCUAAAGAUACCCUUGUGCACUCGCAGGGUUGCAGAUUUCUGGGCCUGGCAGGAGGAACCGAAGGGCAUGUUUACCGUUUGUUCCGCUUACCGCAUGAUCCUAAGAACUAAACAUGAGCGAGAGGCAUGGCUGUAUGAAGAUGAGGGAUCAUCUACUGUACAACAGGAGGCAGACAAAUGGAGUAAUAUUUGGCAUCUGCAGGUUCCUUCAAAACUCCGUAUGUUUGUGUGGAGGCUUGCAAGAAAUUCUAUGCCUACUGUCGAACUGCUCAAGCAUCACAAUAUGGCUACCGAGGACAAAUGUCCCUUGUGUGGGGCGAUUGACACGUGGAGACAUGCUCUUUUUAUGUGCCCCAUGUCAAACAGCGUUUGGGCCUUAGCGCCGGAGGGUUUGGUUGAUCAUUUAGUGGAAAGACGGGAAGAACAUCCCAAAGAUUGUCUCUUCGCAAUGAGUGACAGACUAAACAGGGAUAUGUUUGCGCAUAUGAUUGUGAUCAUGUGGGCUAUUUGGCGAGCUCGGCGGAAAGCGAUCUAUGAAGAUAUCUUCCAAUCACCACAUUCCAUACAUGGGUUCAUCACAAGCUUUCUUGAGGAUCUAAAGCAUAUUAAUGCAAAGGAACCACAACGAGUCGGUGUAAAACCCCCCAGAUCAACCCAGUGGCAGGCCCCUGACACGGGAUGUGUCAAGAUCAAUGUCGAUGCGGCUGCACCAAGGAAUGCGAGAUAUGGGGCUGUUGGGGCGAUCUGCAGGAGCUCAGACGGUCUUUUUCUGGGAGCUUCAGUACUGGUUUUGAGGCAUGUUGUGGAUCCGGAAAUGCUUGAAGCAAUUGCGAUCAGGGAAGGCUUAGCAUUAGCCGAGGACCUUUACCAGCGGCGUAUUCAUGUGGCAUCAGACUGCAAACAGGUGGUGGACUCACUGAAGAAGGAGCUGGCAUCCCCCUAUGGAGCCAUUGUACAUGAAAUAAUAAACCACUUCUUAGAUUUUGAUUUUUGUAAGGUUAGCCAUGAAUUUAGGAGCUCAAAUUAUGAAGCUCACAACUUAGCGAAGCAUGCUUUAUCUCUUGGGGUUGGACGCCGUGUGUGGCUGGGCCACCCCGGAGAUCUUCCCUCCGUCCCUGUAAACAUUGUGACGACUUAAUAAAAGCUUCGUGAGGUUGUCUCAAAAAAAGGCAGAUCCUAUUUGACGCCCGCAGGCGUCAAAAGGAUGUGGCAUCACUGAAGCGUGGACACCCGAACGCCCCACUUGGGCCGGCCCACUGUCGCGAUGCCUUUUCUUCUUUUUCAUGUUUCUUUCAUUUUUUUCUGUUUCUAUUUGUUUUCUUUUCUGUCUUUUCUUUUCUUACUGUUUUUUCGUGUAUUAUACACAGUUCAUUGCUUAUUUAUAUACAAAAAUGUUCAUCAUGUAUUUAAGAAAAUGUUCAUUGUGUAUUUUAAAAUUGUUCAACAUAUAUUCACAAAAAUGUACAAUGUGUAUUUAAACAUUGUUCAGCGUAUACCACAGAAAAGUUCAAUGUGUAUUUAAAUAUUUAUUCAGCAUAUAUAAAACAAGUUCAGUGUGUAUUUAAAAACUGUUCAGCGUAUAUCACAAAAUGUGCAAUGCAUAUUUAAAAAUUGUUCAUCAUUUGAAAUUUCAAGUAUUUUGUUCAUGUUUUCAAUAAAUGUUGACGCUUUUAAAAGUUUGAUCAUAUUUAAAAAAAUCAUGAUUUACAAACGUUGUUAAGAAAAUAAGGAAAAAACGUUCAUUUUUUCCCAAAGAAAUGUUGAAAACUUUUGAAAAAAGAAACGAUCUGCGGUUGUACAUAGUAGUUUUACUGAUCAGGCGAUGCAAAUUGUUCUUAAAGACAGGCGACUCUAAUCUAACACUAGAGUACGUCAGUUCUAUUUGUUUCGAAGAGCUAUCCACUAGCAGGAGAUAGCGAGUUCGAGCUCUUAUCGCGCAACAAUUUUUUUGGCGAGUUUUUCAUGCGCCUGGAUUUUGCUAGCACUAACUGGGCCGGCCCGUUUGCGGUUCUCUUCAGCGAAAGCUCAAAGGCUUGACGCUCACGGGCGUCAUACAAGGGGUCCCCUAUGGUUAGGCCAUCCCGGAACCUUUCUUUCGUCCCAGUGAACCUGAUGAAGAUCUCCGGUACGCAGCAGAGGAAGAGGAAUACGAUCUGUUCAGGCCGGAAGCGGAAUUAGAUGACAAGUUCGCAGGGUUGUCACUUCAUGGUGAGGAGGAGGAGGAUCUUGAUUUUUCUAAGGAGGUUGACGAGCUGAUAAGUGAUGUGCGUUGGCUGGCUUUGUUUAGGUUUCAUACGACCCGUCCGUUCAGUCAUGCCGCUUUGCUCAAAUAGAUGAGGAACGCAUGGGCGACGACACAAGGAGUUACUUUCAACAUCAAGGGACAAAAUCUGUUUGGGGGUACUGGAGGAAGAUUAUGGAUGGAGGGCCAUGGCUCUUUCGUAGAGCGCCGGUAGUGAUACAAGAGUACGACGGUUUUUCGGAUGUCAAUGAGUACAGGCUAAACAAAACACCAGUUUGGGCCAGAAUCAAAGGGCUACCUGUCGUGGUUCUAAGUCUGACAGUAGAAUGGGGGGUAGGAAUGUAGAGGCAAGAUCUUAGCUAUGGAGGAGUUGUACACGGGAGUUUUACGAGUUCAGGCCCUUCUCGGAGGAAGUAAUAGCCCUACGUCUCGGAGCCCGGAGGCGGUCGACUGGAUAAUAUGUGUGUGUGUGUUACAGAAAGUGCGAACCCCUGUCCCUGAGGAGGUGGGUGGCUUAUAUAGAGUUCGCCAGACCCCUCUCGCCCUCAGUUACAAAGGGUUUAAGGUACAUAAAGAUGGAGACGUUACUGGUAACACCUGCAAUAAAGAUACGUAAUGACCAUUAAAGCUAUGACUUAAUUCCCGACCGUUGCAGAGUGGAGAGGCUCUAGAUCUUCUAGUAGUCGAGUGAUUAUCUAUACGAUCGAGUGUCUUCAGGAUUGUCGAGUGGAACAUAACUUCAUGGUCGAGUGGAUGAUGAUUUUUCUUCGAAUGCUCCUGGUACCUUUAGGGAUGUCCUUGGGGAGGGUAUCUUGAACAGAUCCAUGACCCUACCCUAGGUACAUAGCUUCAUCAUUAUCCCCCGAAUGGAUCAAGGUUUGAAUGAGGAAGGAGUUGAGAACACUUCCGACUCAUUUUUCGUGCUAUGAGUAUAUCUUGCUCUGGAUCAAUGAACUGAGGGGAUGACACCAACUUCUUCUUCAGUCGCCUUGGUCCAUUCUUAGUUUUUGUCGAGUGAACUUUUACGGAAGGGUUCCGAAUGAUGAUGCGGAGGAUGUCUUCCGUCUGACAAGUUGUUCUGUUGUCCGCGGAUUUCGCGGGAUUCGAAUUUUGGGAAGCGCGCCGGACGGGCGAGGCCGUGGUAAUCGGGAUGGAUUAGGCAGGUCGCCUCGAUUCCCGCGCCACCUUUUUUGCCAUGUAUCGCGCGCGCGACUGUUGUGGGAUUUGAUAAGAUCAUCCGGGCCUACAAGUCAGUCACUCGGAAGUGACCUUAUAAAAGGCACCGGACCGGGCUUUUGAACAGUACGCCCUCAUUCUCUUUCUUCUUCCUCAGAUUUCUUCGAUGCGCCCGCUUCCGCUCUCGGCGUCGUAGCCUCGCUCGGACUCGAUCCGCCGCCAUGGGAAAGGAGAAGACGGUGGCGUUGGAGCACACGAAGAAGGCGACCACGAAGGCGAAAGGAAAGAGGACCAGCCGGGGUGGAUCCUCGUCAAGGUCCGGCCUACCGCUGGGCUGGAUCCAGGGCGAUUGGAUCCGCUCUACGAUCAGCCAAGACGACCUCGACGACCUAGUUGAGGGGGGAUUGAUCCCCCAUGAAUCGGCGCGGCUCCCGGGGAACGAGACCGAGCCGCGGCCGCUGGAGGGUGAGUGCAUUCUCCUCGCCACUCAUGUCGACCGCGAGUUCUCUUUGCCUCCCCAUCCUUUCUUUCGUGGUUUUUUGAACUUCUUCGGGGCUUAAAUCCACCACUUCAUUCCAAACACCAUAGUGUAUCUUGCUGCCUUUGUGUCAAUGUGCGAAAAUUUCUUGGGUUGUCGACCGCACUGGGUCUCUUCAAGCACAUAUUCACCUGCCGCUCCCAGUCGGUCAAGAUGGCCAACCCGAGUGACGAGAGGAUGCACGUGAUCCAGAUGUGCGGGGGCCUUGGAAUCCAAAUGAGGAACAAGAGAACCUUCCCAGCUAUGAUCCUUCCCGACUCGGUCCGGGGCUGGCAGUCGACCUGGUUUUAUUGUAAGGACCAGCCAACCCUGGGUCAGUCGACUGGACUUCCCCCAUUUUCCUUGGCUCGAGUGGAGAAGCCCUCCUCCUUGAGGGUGAUCCCGGAAGAGAAGGCGCAGGUGAAGGCGUUGGUCGAGUGGGUCGUCCAACUUGUCCGCGACGGGGUGACUGGAAUGGACCUGCUGGAGGUCUUUCUCAGUCGGCACAUCCAACCACUCCAAGCCCGCGACCAUCCGAUGUGGAUGUACUCGGGACUCGAGGACUCCACUCAGAUCCACCCGGAGGACGUUAGUGAAGACAUGGUGGAGAAAUGGCUGAGAGGAAUCACCAGCAACAAAGAUAAUCCCCGAGGGUCUAGGAGGGUGAUUCCAUUCGACCAUUCGCACCAGCCGGAACAGGUAUGAUUCUGCAUUGUCAAGUAUCUUCUCGAUUCACUAUGUAACACCUUGUUGACGGUCGACAGUAUUUCUUUCGUUCAUUGUCUUUUCAGGCUCUCAUUGAUAUGUACUCGAUGCCCAAUGGAGUGCAGGAGCAAGACGUCGAGGAAGGGGCGAGCGGGGGCGAGAGUGGCGAGUCGCACUCGGAUGCAGAUGAGGACGAGGAGAGCGACGACUCGAGUGAUGACGAAGAGGUCGACUCGCCUCCUCGCAGAGAGAGGAGGUCCAAGCACGCUCAAGACCUGGCGAGCACCCCGGUCCUGGCGGCCGCAUUGACUGGGCAUUCUUUGAAGCGCCCUCGAACGUCUUCCCCAGCGCCGACUGAGAAGGUAUCUAAACAGCUCAAGACUAUGCCGCCUCCUGCGCCCAAAGCAUCGAAAGCCACCUCCUCUAAACCACCGAAGGCUUUGCCCAAAAUCAAAGUGACCGUCCCCACCAUCUCCGGGUAAUCAUCUGAUCUGUUCUUUUGGUCGACUCGAGCAACAUAACAUAACCGACUGAAUGUUGACAUUUGUAGUGCUGCUACAUCUGGAACUUCUUCUUACCAAUAUCGAGACGAGGAGAUGGAGGACGCGGUUACCUCCAACCCAGGUAAAAACUCUUAUGAUCUUGUUCUUUGAUUACUUGGUCGAUUGAAUUCUAGCGAUUCACUUGGGGUCGACUGAUUUCUCUGCAGCUCCACCCAACGUCAUCGAUCUUCCAGAUGAUGAUGAAGAUGUGGCCCCUAGGCCCAGAAAGAACAAAAAGGUAGCAGCUGGCAAGAUGUCUCAACAGGGACUGACGACAACACCAACCGUCCGGCAGUAUGAAGACGCAGGCGGGGCCUUUGUAACUUUCGAUGUACCAUUGUCGAGUGAGCGCUCUGCACCGUCGAUUGUACUGGUGUUUCCUUCAGUCGUCCAACCUCACACUUCGGAGCUCCAAGCUGCUGCACCUGGGUCGUCUACCCCCUUCUUCACCAACUACCAUGUUCCGAAAAACCAGUUGGACGCGGCUGCGGAAGCCAUCCGUCAAGCUAACGUGAUGAUGGAGCGGAUGAAGACGGUGCACGAGAAUAGCCAGGCUGCUUACGACGCCAGCGCUUCUCUCCGGGCCAAUGUCCAGGUAUGUAAACUUUCGACUGACCUUGGUCUAUUAGGAUAUGCUACAUGAAAUAUUUUCUUCCAUACAAUCUCUUAUUGUUUGCGUCGAAUCUGUACACCCACUGGGUGUUUUGUUGUCUUUGGUAUUUGCGCUCUUCCACUCGUCCUGGGCGAGUGGGAUCUGAACCGGUGGGGGCACGCUAAGUGCACCCACUGGGUGUAGUCCCCGAGACCAUAGUCGACUGCGGGGAGUCGAUUGGGGUCUGAGUUCUUUUUUCUUUCUUUUCUUCCACUCGACCCGGGUGGACCGGUCGAAUGAGAUCUGAACCAGUGGGGGCACGUCAAGUGCACCGGCUGGGUGUAGUCCCUGAGACCGCGGUCGACUGCUGGCAGUUGGCCGAGGUCUGAAUAGUUCUUUUCUCUUCUUUUCUUUUACUCGACCCGGGGGGACCGGUCGAGUUGGGUCUGAAUCAGUGGGGGCACGCCAAGUGCACCCGCUGGGUGUAGUCCCCGAGACCGCAGUCGACUGUGGGCAGUCGGCUGGGGUCUGAGUAAACUUUUAAGUUUCAUUCACUCGGAAGUAAAUAACCUUUGAUCUUGUCAUUUGACACAUCUUUUACCUCCUGCAGAAAUCUUGUACUCCCAUUUCUAAGUUUGCUGAAUUUGAGGAGAAGCAGAGGCAACUCAACCUCGACUUGGAGCUGGCCCAACAGAAGUUGAAGAAAGCCCAAGAUGAAGCUGUUGGUAUGGAAGGUAACUGCCUGUCGACUGUUCACGUUGAUCGUCUUUUAAGAUAUUCCUUCGAUCUCUUGUUUGAUCCGAUUGCUUCUUUUGCAGAGAAAAUGAGGUUGGCUCUGGAGAAGAAGGACUUGGACCUUGCAGCUGCGUAGAAGGAAGCCCAAGAUAAGACUGCCCUUGCAGACCAGAAGUUGGCUUCAGUCGGAGCGUUGGAAGGGGAGGUGAACAAGCUGAAGUCUUGUCUCAAUGAGUCUAACCGAGAAGUGAGUCGUCUGAAGAAGGACAAGAUUGCCCUGAAUGAGAAGCUGGAGUCCACGGUCCGUAAGAGAAAUGACACGGAAGCUUAUCUGAGAACUCUUGCUAAGAAGCUCUAUCUUAUGCUGGAAGAUACUCCUUUUAAUCCGACUGCUUUGCUGCUUGCGAGUUAAUCCUGUCUAGUCGACUCACUAACUCUUUAACUACAGAAUUCUGCCAAAACUUUGACGAGGAAACUGGAAGGAUCGAGACGGGUCUAGACCCUAUCGCUUCUCCAGUUUGCGACGAAACUGCCAUGAACGUGCUUCGACCGGAAUCCCGUGUUGCCAGCGUCACAAGUUACCUCGCACGUUUGAAGGUGGCAGUUUCACGGAUCGACUCAUCACUCUGGCCAAGGGCGACGCUUCAAAAUGACCUGGAAUCUCUGAUGGCUCGGCUCAACGAGAUUCCUGCUCGAGUACAAGAAUGGAAGAAGUCCUCUGCCCGGUGUGGUGCUGACGUGGCGUUGUCCUUGGUAAGAAUCCACUGCAAGGAAGCUCAUGAAGACAAGCUGGCGGCGAUCAAGGUCGCCAACACCAAAAGGCACGACUUCCAGUCCUUUAUGGAGACUUUCAUCGCUGCUGGCACUCGGAUCGCAGAUGGAAUCGACUUGGACGAAUUCGUCAAACCCGCCAGCCCUCCUCCUGCCUAGUGAACAAACUAUGAGAUUUAAACCUGUCUUAAAUUUGCCUCGGAAUGCCGAGUGGUUGCUGUAACCAUUAAACUCCUUCGGGCUUGAUGCUCGAAUACUUUUGAUUUGUUGCUUGGAACUUUAAGAUUUAUCCGAACUGCUUUUGAAUAUGCUUGUGAUUUCUUUUGGGAUCUGCUCCCUUCUUGGAGUGAUCUUCGAGUUUGAGAUGCAGCCUUGAAACAGAGACUUCAAUUGAACUGCGCCUUGUCGUCUUUGCGGACAAGGAUGAAAGGCAUGUUGUGUUUGUGGCGUAGCUCGAAGGAGAAGGUUGCAGUCGACCUGCGCCUCAUCGUCCUUGCGGACAAGGACGGAGCGCACGUUGUAUUUGUGGCGUAGCUCGGAGAAGAAGGUUGCAGUCGACCUGCGCCUCAUCGUCCUUGCAGACAAGGGUGGAGCGCACGUUGUAUUUGUGGCGUAGCUCGGAGAAGAGGGCCGCAGUCGACCUGCACCUCGUCGUCCUUGCGAGUAGGGAUGGAGCGUAUGUUGUACUUAUGGCACAUCUCUUAGGGAAAGGAUUGCAGUUGACUGGACUGCAGCUAAGCCCUCGAGUGGGAGGAUCGUUCACCACUCGGUAGGUUUUUUACAAACUUAGGUGAGUACUGGACUGCAGCUAAGCCCCCGAGUGGGAGGAUUGCUCACCACUCAAUAGGAUUUUACAAACUUAGGUGAGUACUGGACUGCAGCUAAGCCCCCGAGUGGAAGGAUUGCUCACCACUCGGUAGGAUUUUACAAGCUUAGGCGAGUACUGGACUGCAGCUAAGCCCCCAGUGGGAGGAUUGCUCACCACUCGGUAGGAUUUUACAAACUUAGGCGNNNNNNNNNNNNNNNNNNNNNNNNNNNNNNNNNNNNNNNNNNNNNNNNNNNNNNNNNNNNNNNNNNNNNNNNNNNNNNNNNNNNNNNNNNNNNNNNNNNNNNNNNNNNNNNNNNNNNNNNNNNNNNNNNNNNNNNNNNNNNNNNNNNNNNNNNNNNNNNNNNNNNNNNNNNNNNNNNNNNNNNNNNNNNNNNNNNNNNNNNNNNNNNNNNNNNNNNNNNNNNNNNNNNNNNNNNNNNNNNNNNNNNNNNNNNNNNNNNNNNNNNNNNNNNNNNNNNNNNNNNNNNNNNNNNNNNNNNNNNNNNNNNNNNNNNNNNNNNNNNNNNNNNNNNNNNNNNNNNNNNNNNNNNNNNNNNNNNNNNNNNNNNNNNNNNNNNNNNNNNNNNNNNNNNNNNNNNNNNNNNNNNNNNNNNNNNNNNNNNNNNNNNNNNNNNNNNNNNNNNNNNNNNNNNNNNNNNNNNNNNNNNNNNNNNNCCCGAGUGGGAGGAUUGCUCACCACUCGUUAGGAUUUUACAAACUUAGGCGAGUACUGGACUGCAGCUAAGCCCCCGAGUGGGAGGAUUGCUCACCACUCGGUAGGAUUUUACAACUUAGGCAAGUACUGGAUUACAGCUAAGCCCCCGAGUGGGAGGAUUGCUCACCACUCGGUAGGAUUUUACAAACUUAGGCGAGUAUUGGACUGCAGCUAAGCCCCCGAGUGGGAGGAUUGCUCACCACUCGGUAGGAUUUUACAAACUUAGGUGAGUACUGGACUCGCAGCUAAGCCCCCGAAUGAGAGGCUUGCUCAUCACUCGGUAGGAUUUUCUUUCGAACUUAGGUGAAACAUAUUCAUGGCUAAGCCCACCCACUGGGGGAUUUCAGAGGUAAAUAAAAACAACAACAAUCUUACGGGAAGACGGUAAAGCUCUUGUCUUUGAUGAACAAAUUACAAAGGUAUUUCUUAUUACAUUUUAUUCGAACGAGUGCUUAAGUAUAAAACGGGCGGAGCAGCUCCGCGUUCCAAGCCCGUGGCUCGUCCUUCUUAUGCUCGACACUGUAAAGGUGGUAUGCUCCAUUGUGGAGCACUCUGGUGACAAUGAAGGGACCUUCCCAAGCUGGGGCGAGCUUGUGUGGUUUCUAUUGAUCCACUCGAAGAACCAAGUCUCCCUCUUGAAAGGCUCUACCAUUCACGUGUCUAGCAUGGAAUCGACACAAGUCUUGUUGAUAAAUGGUUGACCGGAUCAAGGCCAUCUCUCUUUCCUCCUCUAGGAGGUCGACUGCGUCUUGCCGAGCUUAUUCUGCUUCAUCUUCACAAAAAGCUCAACUCGUGGUGCAUUAUGAAGAAAGUCGCUCAGGAGAACAGCUUCAGCUCCAUAGACCAAGAAAAAUGGAGUUCAACCAGUCGACCUAUUAGGAGUUGUCCUCAAUCCCCAGAGAACUGAUGGAAGUUCAUCAACCCAAGCGCCCGCUGCGUGCUUGAGAUCUCGCAUCAGUCGGGGUUUCAGUCCUUUGAGAAUCAGGUCAUUUGCUCUUUCUGCUUGUCCAUUCAACUGGGGAUGGGCGACUGAAGCAUAGUCGACUUGUGUGCCUUGUGAGGCGCAGAAGGUUCUGAACUCAUUAGAAUCGAAGUUCGUGCCGUUGUUGGUGAUGAUGCUGUGCAGAACCCCAUAUCUGAAAAUCAACUCUCUGAUGAAACUGACGGCAGUACUAGCUUCAAGAUUCUUAAUAGGCUUGGCUUCGAUCCAUUUGGUAAACUUGUCAACUGCUACGAGCACAUGAGUGAAGCCGCUCCUACUAGUCCUCAGUGGCCCAACCAUGUCCAAUCCCCAAACAGCAAAGGGCCAGAUGAGUGGGAUGGUCUUCAGGGAUGACGCAGGUUUGUGUGACAUGUUGGAGUAGAACUGGCAGCCUUCACAUCUGUCGACUAUAUCUUUCGCCAUUUCAUUUGCUCGUGGCCAAUAAAAUCCAUCUCGGUAGCCACAAUGGUCCGAGAGGACGCAUGGUGGCCACAGGUCCCCGAAUGGAUGUCGAGGAGGAUCACUCGGCCUUCUUCUGGUGUUAUGCAUUUCUGGCUGACUCCAGUUGCACUUUCUCUGAACAGUUGACCCCUUAUUACAGUAAAGGCUUUGGAUCGACGGACGAUCUGCCGAGCCUCUUCUUCAUCCUCUGGGAGCUCUUUCCUAAGGAUAUAUGCAAUGUAUGGCACUGUCCAGUCGGGGGUGAUGACCAAUACCUCCAUGAUUAAGUCGACCACAACUGGAACCUCGACUUCAGUCGGAUUUGUGGCACUCCUAGGCUGCGGGGGCUCUUCGGCGAAGGGAUCUUCUUGAACCGAAGGUGCAUGAAUGUGCUCCAGGAACACGUUGCUGGGAAUAGCUUCUCUCUUGGAGCCUAUCUUUGCUAAAUCAUCUGCUGCUUGAUUUUUCAGUCGGGUACAUGAUGGAGCUCUAACCCCUCAAACUUCUUUUCCAACUUCCUCACCGCGUUGCAGUAACCAGACAUGGCUGGGCUUCUGACAUCCCACUCUUUCAUCACUUGAUUGACUACUAAAUCUGAGUCGCCAUAGACCAUGAGGCGACGGACACCGAGUGAAAUGGCCAUACGCAACCCAUACAAGAGUGCUUUAUAUUCUGCUUCGUUAUUGGAGGAAUCAAAGUGAAUCUGGAGGACAUAUCUGAGCUUGUCUCCUCGGGGGGAUACCAGUACCAUCCCAGUGCUGUAACCAUUCAACAUCUUGGAACCAUCAAAGAACAUGGUCCAGUGCUCCGAGUGAACUUGAGUCGGCAGUUGUUGUUCAAUCCACUCGGCGAGGAAAUUUGCUAUUGCUUGGGACUUGAUAGCUUUCUUUGCCUCGAACUUGAUAUCCAAGGGAAGGAGCUCAAUCACCCACUUUGCCACUCGACCAGUUGCAUCUCUAUUGUUCAAAAUCUCUAAUAAUGGAGUGUCGCUGACGACUGUAAUGGAAUGAUCAGAGAAGUAAUGUGCAACCUUCUUCGUGGUCAUAUAAAUCCCAUAAACAAGAUUCUGAUAACGUGGAUAUCUUUGCUUUGAUGGGGUCAAAACUUCAGAGACAUAGUAUAUUGGGCGCUGAACUUUGUAGGCUUUUCCUUCUUCUUCCCGCUCGACCGUAAGUAUUGUACUGACGACUUGUCCAAUGGCUGCAAUGUAAAGUAGUAAAGGCUCUUUGUUGAUUGGAGCAGCAAGCACCCGUUGGGUGGAAAGCAAGGCUUUAAGCUCUGCAAAUGCUGCAUCAGCUUCGGGAGUCCACUCGAACUUAUCUGACUUCUUCAUCAGUCGGUAAAGAGGCAGUGCCUUUUCACCGAGGCGAGAAAUGAAUCGAAUUAGGGCGGCCAGACAACCAGUAAGCUUCUGGACAUCGUGCACACGCACAGGGCGUUUCAUCCGGAGUAUGGCACCCACUUUCUCUGGGUUAGCGUCGAUCCCUCAUUCGGAAACGAGAAAACCGAGUAAUUUUCCGUCUGGUACUCCAAACGUGCACUUUGAUGGAUUAAGCUUGAUAUCAUAUCUUCUGAGGUUGGCAAAGGUUUCAGCAAGGUCAACCAGUAGGUCGGAACCUUUACGUGACUUGACCACAAUGUCAUCCAUGUAUGCUUCCACAUUCCGACUGAUCUGAGUCAGCAAGCACUUCUGAAUCAUCCGCAUGAAUGUGGUUCCAGCGUUCUUCAAACCGAAUGGCAUAGUGACAUAACAGAAGCAUCCAAAUGGGGUGAUGAAAGCUGUUUUUAUCUCGUCGGGUCCAUACAGAAGGAUCUGGUGGUACCCGGAAUAAGCGUCCAAAAAGGACAAACGCUCGCACCCCGCAGUCGAUUCGACUAUUUGGUCGAUGCGAGGGAGAGGAAAGUGAUCUUUCGGGCAGGCCCAAUUGAUAUGUUUGAAGUCGAUGCACAUGCGAAGUGAGUCGUCCUUCUUUGGGACCAUGACAACAUUAGCUAACCACUCGGAGUGGUAAAUCUCAUGGAUAAACUCAGGUGCCAGAAGCCGAGCCACCUCUUCACCGAUUGCCUUCCUCUUCUGUAUGGCGGACCGUCGAAGAUGAUCUUUGACUGGUUUCACUUUUGGGUCGACUCGUAAACGAUGCUCAUCCAGUCCCCUGGGAACACCUGGCAUGUCCGAAGGUUUCCAUGCAAAGAUGUCCCAGUUCUCACGGAGGAACUGGAUGAGCGCUUCUUCCUAUUUGGAGUCGAGUGUUGUUGAAAUGUGAGUCGGAGCAGCAUUGGGAUCCAUCGGGUGAAUGUGAAUUGACUUUGUUUCGCCAGACGACUGGAAUGCCAAAUCUGUGGCAGGCUUCUUAGCUCGCAACAAAUCACUUGGAUCUGCAUUUUUUUGAUAUUCCUGCAAUUCCACUAUGGCCAUCUAUGCAUCGGCGAUCUUUGAGCCCUUAUGGAAGCACUCUUCCGCCUUCUUCCGACUACCAGUGAUAGUGAUCACCCCUUUGGGACCAGGCAUCUUCAUUUUAUGGUACACGUAACAUGGUCGAGCCAUAAAACGUGCAUAAGCUGGCCUGCCCAGAAUAGCAUGAUAGGCACUCUGGAAAUCCACAACUUCAAAUGUCAACUUUCCUUUGCGGUAAUUCUUUGAGUCAUCGGACACUACAUCGAGAGCGAUCUGACCGAGUGAUGCAGCCUUCUUGCCGGGAAUGACUCCAUGGAAACUCAUAUUGCUUUCACUGAGUCUGGACAUCGGAAUGCCCAUUCCUUUCAAUGUCUCUGCAUACAGUAUAUUCAGGCCACUGCCACCAUCCAUCAGAACCUUAGUCAAUCGGGUGCCUUCGACUACUGGGUCGACCACCAACGCUUGCCUCCCAGGGGUGGCUAUGUGCGCUGGGUGAUCGGACUGGUUGAAUGUAAUGGCAGUCUGGGACCACUUCAAAUAACUGGGUGUCACCGGAGCGACCAUGUUCACUUCUCUGUUGAUGACUUUCAGUCAACUCUUACUCUCAAAGUCAGCGAAAAUCAUCAGAGUGGAAUUCACGUGGGGAUAACCAUCAUCAUCCUCUUCCUCGUCCUCAACCUUGUCUGUUUCUUUCUCCUUUUCCUUGGGAUGUUUCUCUCGGAAUUGCUGGCUUAGGAGUCGACACUAUCGAGUGGUAUGCCUCGGGUAAAUGAAAUUAUCCUCUUCAUCUUUUUUGGUGUGAAUGUGGCAUGGCAAAUCCAGCACAUCAUUUCCAUCUUGAUCUUUUACUUUCUUGGGGUUCCACGGCCCUUUGGGCUUCCCCUUGAACUUUCCUUGAGUCACGGCUAAGGCUUCACCAGGAGCGGCUGGCUCGGCUUUGCGCUUCUGCUUCCGACUGGAGUUCCCUCCUCCGGUUUUGUGGGCGACUGUUUUGUGCUUGCCACUCCAGAGUCGGUCUUCUUCUUCACCAUUGGCAUACUUGGUGGCAAUUUCCAUCAUCCGAGUCAGAGUCAUAUCUCCUGUCCAACCGAAUUUCAGAUUCAACUCCCGAUAUUUGACGCCUUCUUUAAAGGCACAAAUUGCCUGAUGAUCAGACACAUUCUCCACCGUGUGGUGUGAUGUGAUCCAUCUCUGGAUAUAAUCUCUCAAAGUUUCAUUCGGUUUCUGAAUGCAACAUUGUAAUUCUGUCAGCCCUGCUGGCCGUUUGCAAGUACCUUCAAAUGUUCUGACAAAUACUCGGGCAAGAUCUUCCCAAGUAUAAAUGCUACCAGGCGCUAACUGAUCCAGCCAUGCUCUAGCUAAGCCCUCUAACAUCAAAGGAAGGUGUUUUAUGGCCACCUCGUCAUUGCCACCACCGAUAUAAACAGCCACUCGGUAAUCUUCAAGCCAAGUAUCAGGCUUGGACUCUCCAGUGAACUUACUGACUCCAGUCACCAACCUAAAGUUGGGAGGAAUCACCGCAGCCCUGAUGGCUCUGCUGAAGCACUCCGGACCUAAGACAUGCACUCUGCUGCUGGUUGGAAAAUCUCUGUCGGGACCUUCUCUGUGAGCUCUGUUUCUGUCGACCAGACCCUGAACAAGAAUAGAUCUCGCGUCAAAGCCCGAUUCCCUGAGGUCGACUGGAAUCCUUCGCCCACCACUAUGAGGGCGUCUGUCAUCCUGUUGCCGAGGCACAUACGAUCCACUCCUUGGGGAAGGCGUGGGCACUCAACGACGAUCGUCAUGAUUGAGUCGGUGAUCAUACUGCUCGCGGCUUCUGUACUGAUCUCACCGGUCUCCAUGUCCUUCACGCCUCGGGGGCAAUCUCGGACUGUGAGCCGACUGGACAGUGUCUGCCACCAUGGAUCUGCUAUGGAUCCUAUUCCGUGACUGAGAUACUGUUGUAUUCUGCUCUCCCGCCGGACAGAGCAAGGCCCGGAUCUGCACCAGACCUCGAACAGCUUCUGACUGGGAAGGUUGGAUUGACUCCGCUAUUCAGGCCGCAGCUACGAGAUUCUGGAUUGGGGUUCGGUAUACCUGAGUCGGAGGCGGAAAAAGUUGGCAUCGACUGGACUCGGGAAUACCCUGCCGAGCACGCUCGUCGAGUGCACGCUGGAGGUUCUCCAGUCGAGUGCGCUCAGCCAAGUUGGCUAGGCGCGCCUCCUCCAAGGCCUGAGCCUCAGGGGUUUCUCCAACAAUAGGAGUGUGAAGUGCAUCCAUGUUCUGGCGGCGAAGUUCCUCCCUCCUCUGUGAAGAGAGGGGUUCGGGUCGGUACUCUUCGUGGACACGCGACGGAUCACCACCACCAUCACCUCCGUCCUCACGGGUGAAGCCAGGAGGACUACGUGGUCCAUUGACCAUCAAAACUUCCGCCGUGGGGUCACUGCUGUCGCACUCGGAUGCAGUCUCUACGGAGCCAGUCGACAAGUCGAAUAGGCCGUAGAGAGUUUCGUCGGGCUCGAUUGCCGCGACCUAGGGGGUGGCCGAUUGGCGAGCCACCGCAUGCCUCACCCAUCGCUGAAGCCUCGACCGCCCGGAAUGUUUGCCUCGGCAGGCUGCGGGGAGGGAGGUCGGCACGGGAGCCGACCGAUACUGAGUCGACGGCUGCCGAAGGAGGACGCCACGGACGCACGCGCGAAAGUGCGUCGCCCCACGGACGGGGAGGGCCUCGACGUCGAGUGGCGCUUCCUGGAGCCAAGCGGAGUCGUCGGCGAUGAAUACGAGCGCACCGAGACGGAUCUCGUGGCCCUUGGCCAAACCUCCGCCUGAAACCAUGUCAAUGAGGAUCGGAAAAAAUCACAACUUCUCCAAAAAGUUGCUAAGACACCGGCCCCAAGGUGGGUGCCACGGACGCACGCGCGAAAGUGCGUCGCCCCGCGGACGGGGAGCGCCUCGACGUCGAGUGGCGCUUCCUGGAGCCAAGCGGAGUCAUCGGCGAUGAAUACGAGCGCACUGAGACGGAUCUUGUGGCCCUUGGGCAAACCUCCGCCUGAAACCAUGUCAAUGAGGAUCGGAAAAAAUCGCAACUUCUCCAACAAGUCGCUAAGACACCGGCCCCACGGUGGGCGCCAACUGUCAUGGUUCUAAGUAUGACAGUAGAAUGGGGGUAGGAAUGUAGAGGCAAGAUCUUAGCUAUGGAGGAGUUGUACACGGGAGUUUUACAAGUUCAGGCCCUUCUCGGAGGAAGUAACAGCCCUACGUCUCGAAGCCCGGAGGCGGUCGACUGGAUUAUAUGUGUGUGUGUUACAGAAAGUGCGAACCCCUGUCCCUGAGGAGGGGGGUGGCUUAUAUAGAGUUCGCCAGACCCCUCUCGCCCUCAGUUACAAAGGGUUUAAGGUACAUAAAGAUGGAGAUGUUACUGGUAAUGCCUGCAAUAAAGAUACGUAAUGACCAUUAAAGCUAUGACUUAAUUCCCGACCGUUGCAGAGUGGAGAGGCUCUAGAUCUUCUGGUAGUCAAGUGAUUAUCUAUACGGUCAAGUGUCUUCAGGAUUGUCAAGUGGAACAUAACUUCAUGGUCGAGUGGAUGAUGAUUUUUCUUCGAAUGCUCCUGGUACCUUUAGGGAUGUCCUUGGGGAGGGUAUCUUGAACAGAUCCAUGACCCUACCCUAGGUACAUAGCUUCAUCACUACCUGACGGACUGACCAGGAAGAAGGAACUGUCAUAAAGAGUAGUAGCUAAGGUCGGAGAGCCACCUUUCACAGUUAUUGUCAAUGAAGGCCGAAUCAAUCCAACGAGCACACUUUGGGCUCGGGUGUUUCUGGAUGUGACCAAACCCUUGGUGAGGUUUGUACCAAGCACGUUGAAGGAAAGUAGGAGGUAUAGUGUCUACUAUGAGAAGCUUCCAGAUGUCUGCUUUGUAUGUGGCUUGAUGGGUCAUAUUGCUGAGGAGUGUGGGGAUGGUGUUUAUGAUUCAAGAGAAUUUGAGUGGGUUCCUGAACCACCAGCUGAUCAAUCCACGGGAGUGAGGGGUGGCAGGGAGGGAGGAAGACGGGGUGGAGGAAGGAAUAACCGAGGUGGUAGGAAUGGUCGUGGGGGGUCAGAAGGAAGAGAAGGAGGGGAGUGGAACGUAGGGUAUGGUAGAACAGAUGCACCCACUGAUAUGGAUGUCAUGGCUCCAUUAGUGGAGGAAGGACGAAGGAAGAUGGUUCAGAAGCGACUAGUAUCCCAGGGUGGCUCUCUUAACAUCAUGGGGCAACCAAUGCCGAACUUAGCUGGGAGAGUGGCGGGUAUAGUUCUGAUGAUUGAAGGAGGAGCUUCUAGCAGCGGUGGAAUCCCAAGUACCCCGGGUAAGGUGCAAGUAGUCAAGAGGAGGAGACAGGGGGAGGAAGGAGUAGAGAUGGAUUACACAAAUGACGCGGCCUCCGAUGGGGAGGGCCGCGGACAGUGAUGCAGACCUUGUGUUGGAACUGCCGUGGGAUUGGCGAUCCCGCGACGGUUCGAAAGCUCCGCGAUCUCGUGGAGGCUAGUGCACCGUUGAUUCUUUGUAUUGUCGAAACUCAGCUUGCAAAAGAUCGAGUGGAGGGUUUGGCGGGUACUUUAGGUUUCUCUAGUAGGUUUGCAGUAGCUAGUAGGGGGCGAAGUGGAGGAUUAGGUUUGUUUUGGAAGAAUGAUGUAAAGUUGGAAAUAAAGAACUUUUCACAAUAUCACAUUGAUUCAGUGGUUACGGGGGCAGAUGCGCAGCAAUGGCGCCUCUCCUGUUUCUAUGGGGAGGCAAACAGGAGCCUUCGUUACAAGACAUGGGAUACUAUGGUCAGGCUUAGGGGAGAGAGCACUCUGCCGUGGAUUUGCAUGGGCGACUUCAACGAAAUAUUACGACCGGAAGAACAAUGGGGACCAAAUGAACGUGAUAGUUCUCAGAUUGCGGUAUUUCGAGAAGCGGUUGAUCUUUGUGGCUUAGAUGAUAUUGGGUAUAAAGGACUCGACCGGACCUUUGAGAAGAGAAUUGCGGGCGGUGAUUUCUGCAAGGUGCGGCUGGACCGUGCCCUUGCGACCCCGUCGUGGUCGUCUAUGUUUCCCUUUGCCUCUCUGGAACAUUUGACGGCUGCGAAGUCAGACCAUUGCCCUAUAUUGCUAUCAAACGAACUUGAGCAAAAUGCAGUUCGAUAUAAACUGAAGAAGCCGUUCAGAUAUGAGGUCAUUUGGGAGACCGAUGGGAGGUUCAGUGGAGCGCUUGAGGACAUGUGGAGGUCAGAAGGGCCGGCAAUGUUGGUCUCAGCAAUGGCAGACAAAUUAUCGGCGAUGGCGAACACGCUGCGAAGAUGGGGCAGAAACACUUUCGGCUCUAUUAGGCAAGAGUUAAGGACGCUGCGGCUGAGACUAGCAGCUCUUCGGGCCGACCCAUCUCGGGUUGGUCCAGGCCAGGAGGAGAAACAAGUGCAAGACAAAAUGAUUGAGUUGUCAUAUAGGGAGGAGAUUAUGAUGCGUCAACGAUCCCGGAUUCAAUGGCUGACAGAGGGAGACAGUAAUACACAAUUUUUUCAGAAAAAAGCAAGUGCGAGGAGGGCAAAGAACAAAAAUUCACAGCUCCAUAAGGAGGAUAGCUUGCUGACUAGUGAUCCGGAAGAGAUGGCGCACAUGGCCAGCAGUUUUAUUUGAACCUUUAUGCAUUUGAGGGCACUAUUGGGAUGGAAGAGGUUCUUUCCCACAUACCUACAAGGGUUGAUGGAGCUAUGAAUGCGGCUUUGAACAAAUCCCACAACAAUGAGGAGGUAAAAAUGCUUUGUUUCAAAUGUUUCCCACCAAAGCUCCGGGGCCUGAUGGUUUCCCAGCACAUUUUUUUGGCGUCAUUGGGAGCUAUGUGGUGAUGAGGUAACUAGUAUGAUCAUUCGAGUGCUGAAUGGAGAGGACUCACCGGAAGAUAUCAAUAGUACGUUCAUUGUGAUGAUUCCCAAGAUAACAAGUCCAAAACUUUUAGGACAGUUCCGGUCGAUAAGUCUUUGUAAUGUGAUUUUUAAAAUUUCUUCAAAGGUCUUAGCAAACAAGCUGAAACUAAUUCUUCCUGAGGUCAUCUCCGAGGAGCAGUCGGCUUUCGUUCCAGGACGUCUCAUUACUGACAACUUUAUAAUUGUGUAGACGUGUUUACACUAUAUGAAAACAAGGAGAGUUAAGGGGAAUAGAUUUUGUGCAUUGAAGCUGGACAUGAUGAAAGCGUACGAUCGAUUGUAAUGGUCGUACCUUAGGGUUGUAAUGCUCAAACUUGGCAUAAGCCCACGCUUCAUGGAAACAGUAAUGAGGUGCGUCACAUCAGUAUCUUUUUCAGUGUUGUUUAACGGUGGAGUUUUAUACUCUUUCAGGCCUUCCCAUGGAGUGGGACAGGGAGAACCGAUCAGCCCUUACCUUUUUCUGUUGGCGGCCGAGGGAUUAUCUUGCUUGCUUAAAGGGGUGGAGGGAGUGAGAGGCAUCAAAGUUGCUCCUCCAGCCCCGGAGGUAAAUCAUCUACUGUUCGCUGACGACGGUCUUCUGUUCUUCGAGGCGAACAACAUGGCAGCGAGCCGCUUCAAGCACUGCUGCACAUAUAUUGCAACACAUUGGGCCAAAGAAUCAACACAGAUAAAUCAUCAAUUUUUUUCAGCAGAGGGGUGCCGGAGAGUACCCGAGGGGAGGUGAAGAAUGUUUUCAAUGUUCAUAACGAGUCUCUGUCAGAGAAGUAUCUUGGCCUGCCUUCGGACGUUGGUCGAUCAAAGGAGGGGUGUUUCAAAUAUCUGAAAGAUAGGGUAUGGAAGCAUGUAUAGGGGUGGAUGGAGAAGUGUUUGUCGGCAGGAGGAAAGGAGGUGUUGAUCAAGUCGGUAGCUCAAGCCAUUCCGACUUAUUCCAUGUCAUGCUUUAAACUACCCCGUGGACUCUGUGAACAUAUCAAUGGUCUUUUGAGGAAAUUUNNNNNNNNNNNNNNNNNNNNNNNNNNNNNNNNNNNNNNNNNNNNNNNNNNNNNNNNNNNNNNNNNNNNNNNNNNNNNNNNNNNNNNNNNNNNNNNNNNNNNNNNNNNNNNNNNNNNNNNNNNNNNNNNNNNNNNNNNNNNNNNNNNNNNNNNNNNNNNNNNNNNNNNNNNNNNNNNNNNNNNNNNNNNNNNNNNNNNNNNNNNNNNNNNNNNNNNNNNNNNNNNNNNNNNNNNNNNNNNNNNNNNNNNNNNNNNNNNNNNNNNNNNNNNNNNNNNNNNNNNNNNNNNNNNNNNNNNNNNNNNNNNNNNNNNNNNNNNNNNNNNNNNNNNNNNNNNNNNNNNNNNNNNNNNNNNNNNNNNNNNNNNNNNNNNNNNNNNNNNNNNNNNNNNNNNNNNNNNNNAACUUUUUAACUUGGCACUUCUUGGAAGGCAAGUUUGGAGAUUAAUGCAAGAGCCAAAUUCUCUAAGUGCUCGAAUCAUCAAAGCAAGGUAUCACCCCGAUAGUGACAUAUUAACAACAUACAUUGGUUCCAACCCAUCGCAAGUAUGGAGAGCCUUAUUGGAAGAAGAGAUGUACUCAAUCUGGGCUUGAUUAAGCGGAUUGGCACGGGGCAGGAGACUAGGAUCUGGCAUGACAAUUGGCUGCCAAGGGAUUUUAAACUUCGUCCACUUUGCGCUAUCUCACAAAACCCGCGAUUGAUGGUGUCUGAAUUGAUAGAUAGUGCGACGAAGACGUGGAAUGUUCAGAACCUGUAUGAUCAUUUUGUUGGUCCUGAUGUUGAUGUUAUCAAGAACAUUCCGCUAAGCUCUUGUGUACAGGAGGACUAUUGGUCCUGGCACUAUGACAAACGAGGGGUGUUUUCUGUCUGAUCGGCAUACAUGAUGAUUACUGGCAUCCGGGCGCAGCGGGAGGCAUGGUUGGAGCAGCGCAUAGGACACUCCAAUCACAUGGUGGGCAAGAAAUCAUGGACGUAUCUGUGGAAGGUUAAAUUCCCAGCAAAGGUGCGAGUGUUUACAUGGAGAUUGGCACAUACAUCGUUACCGACUGGAACGAUGAGGCAUGAGCGCAAGAUGGCGGAUACAGACAUGUGCUCAAUUUGUAACUCAGCUGAGGAUACAUGGAGGCAUUCACUUUUUGAGUGUCGUAUGGCGAGGUGUGUCUGGGCCUUGGUAGAUGAGGACACACUGGAGCAUGUGAUAUCAACUCAGAUAGAAGACGCGCGACUAUGGCUUUUUUGGUUGCUUGAGGCUUUGAAUCAGCAAGAUCUAGCACGGGUGUUGGUAACCAUGUGGGACAUAUGGUGGGCGCGAAGGCGAGCGAUUCACGAUGGGGAGUUUCAGAGCCCUUUGAGCACCAUGAGCUUCAUAAACCGCUAUCUUGAGGAUUUGAAUAUAGCUUCCGCUCGUGGAAGGAACACAACUAAGGCUACAGAUCACACCAGGAGGACCAACAGAUGGCUAAAACCGGCUACUGGUAACAUGAAGAUGAAUGUAGAUGGAGUGGUCUUGAGGAAUGGAGCACGAGGAGCAGCGACUGUCAUUUGUAGAGAUGAAGUGGGAGCCUUUUUGGGAGCUUCUGCAAUUGUUUUCGAUGGCCUAGUGGAUCCACCUAGUCUGGAAGCACAAGCAUGCAAUGAAGCUUUAGCACUAGCCAAAGACCUGAAUUUGUGGCGAGUUCAGGUGGCCUCGACUGCCUUGAGGUGGUGAACAAUAUCAGGUGGCCUCGGACUGCCUUCGGACAGUUGCAUAAUCUCAUAGUCGAAGGAAUAUGUAUUUGACAUGAAGAAAGCAAUAACAAUAAAACUGAACGAUCAUUAUGCUAAGCUGAUGGUUGGGUCUUCUCCAACACAUCAUUCUCCUAAUGAUGUGAUCCUGUUAUCAAAUGACAACUCAUGUCCAUGGUUAGAAAACCUUAGCCAUCUUUGAUUAACGAGCUAGUCAAGUAGAGGCUCACUAGGGACACAAUGUUUGUCUAUGUAUUCACACAUGUAUUUGGGUUUCUGAUCAAUACAAUUCUAGCAUGAAUAAUAAACAUUUAUCAUGAAUAAGGAAAUAUAAAAUAAUAACUUUAUUAUUGCCACUAGGGCAUAUUUCCUUCACCUCGCUGCCCCUACUUUGUCACUUGGUGAGGACUCCGCAAGAUUGAACCCAAAACUAAUCACCUCCCUCAUUGCAAGAAGAACAAAUCUAGUUCACCAAACCAAACCGAUAAUUCGAAGAGAAAUAGGAAGAUAUCAAAUCAUGCAUAUGAUAAUUCAUAGAAGAUUCAAAUAAUAUUCAUAGAUAAACUGAUCAUAAAUCCACAAUUCAUCGGAUCUCGAUAAACACAACACAAAAGAAUAUUACAUCGGAUAGAUCUCCAAGAACAUCGAGGAGAACAUGGUAUUGGGAAUCAAAGAGAGAGAAGAAGCCAUCUAGAUACUAGCUAUGGACCCGUAGGUCUUUGGUAAACUACUCACGCUUCAUCGGAAGGGCAAUAGAGUUGAUGUAGAUGCCCUCCGUGAUCGAAUCCCCCUUCGGUAGGAUGCCGAAAAGGCCCCAAGAUGGGAUCUCAUGGGAACAGAAGGUUGCAGCAGCGGAAAAGUAUUUUGAUGGACGCUUUUGGUCGUUUGGGAAUAUUUCUGAAUUUAUAGGCCAAAGAUUAGGGUUGAAGGACUCCCGUGGGGCCCACAAGCCAAGGGCGCCCCCCUAGGGCGCACCCGAGGGCUUAUGGAGCCCUCGGGACUCUUUUGCCUUGCUCUCCUAGUCCUACGUGUGUCUACUGGUCCAAGAUAAAUCAUCAUAAAGUUUUAUUCCGUUUGGACUCCGUUUGGUAUUACUUUUAUGUAAAACUCGAAAAAAGGGAAAAACAGAAAUUGGCACCGGGCUUUGGGUUAAUAAGUUAGUCCCAAAGAUAAUAUAAAAUAACAUAUUAAUGCAUAUAAAACAUCAAAAUAGAUAAUAUAAUAGCAUGGAACAAUAAAAAAUUAUAGAUACGUUGGAGACAUAUCAAGCAUCCCCAAGCUUUAUUCCUACUCGUCCUCGAGUAGGUAAAUGAUAAAAACAGAAUUUUUGAUGUGGAAUGUGAUACGUCUCCGUCAUAUCUACUAUUCCUAACGCUUUUCCUCUUGUUUUGGACUCUAAUUUGCAUGAUUUGAAUGAAACUAACCCAGACUGACGCUUCUUUUAGCAGAACUACCAUGCUGUUGUUUUUGUGCAGAAAUAAAAGUUCUGGGAUUGGAUCGAAACUUUGUGAGGAUUUUUUAUUCAAUAAAUGAGAAUUUCUUGAGCCAAGAACGACCGGAGAGGGGGCACCUGGGUGGGGACAACCUACCAGGGCGCGCCCCCUCCAGGCACGCCCAGGUGGGUUGUUCCGACCUGGUGGCCCCGCAGACCUCAACCCUGAUACUAUAAAAUCACAUAUUUGGAGAAAGAAUCAGGGAGAAAGAAUUAUCACGUUUCACGAGACGGAGCCGCUGCAACCCCCUAUUCUUCAUCGGGAGGCCAGAUCUGGAGUACGUUUGGGGCUCUGGAGAGGGGGAUCUUUGAUCUUCGUCAUCACCAACCCUUCUCCAUCGCCAAUUCCAUGAUGCUCCCCACCGGGAGUGAUUAAUUCCUUCAUAGGCUCGCUGGUCGGUGAGGAGUUGGAUGAGAUUCAUCAUGUAAUCGAGUUAGUUUUGUUACGGCUUGAUCCCUAGUAUCCAUUAUGUUCUAAGAUUGAUGUUGCUGUGACUUUGCUAUGCUUAAUUCUUAUCACUUUGGGCCCGGGUGCAAGGAUUUCAGAUCCGAACCGUUUAUGAUAUCACCAUUAUAUCUAUGUUCUAGAUUCAAUCUUGCAAGUAAUAGUCACCUACUACGUGUUAUGACCCGGCAACCCCGGAGUGACAGAAGUCGGGACACUUCCCGGUGAUGACCGUAGUUUGAGGAGUUCAUGUGCUCACUAUGUGUUAAUGCUUUGUUCCGGUUCUCUAUUAAAAGGAGGCCUUAAUAUGCCUUAGUUUCCAAUAGGACCCCGCUUCCACAGGAGGGUAGGACAAAAGAUGUCAUGCAAGUUCUUUCCAUAAGCACGUAUGACUAUUUACGGGAUACAUGCCUACAUUAUAUUUAUGAACUAGGGCUAGUGCUGUAUCGCCCUAGGUUAUGACUAUUAUAUGAUGAAUAUCAUCCAACGAUUUCACCGAUCCAAUGCCUACGAAUUUCUCUUAUAUUGUUCCUGCUAAGUUACCACUGCUACUAUUACUAUUGCACUUGCUACAAAAUCAUUGUUGUCACUGUUAUCGUUAUCAUUGCUGUUGCUACUACUAUCAAAACUAUCAUAUUACUUUGCUACUGAUCACUUUGAUACAGAUAAUAAAUCUCCAGGUGUGGUUGAUUUGACAACUCAGUUGCUAAUACUUGCAAAUAUUAUUUGGAUCCCCUUGUGUCGAAUCAAUAAAUUUGGGCUGAAUACUCUACCCUCAAAAACUGUUGCGAUCCCCUAUACUUGUGGGCUAUCAAGACCUUUUUCUGGCGCCGUUGCGGGGGAGCAUAGCUAUAUUUGUUGAGUCACUUGGGAUUAUUAUCAAAUUAUCACUAUGAAGAAUCUGAAGGAUGCUAAGACUACGAUUUUCCCCUCUAAGACGAGAGGAGGUAAGAACUGCCAUCUAGCUCUGCACUUGAUUCACCUUCUGUUAUAAGUAAACUUGCAACACCAUCACUUGCUAUUAAUCCUGUUAUGUCACAAGUUUUUGAUGAUGCUACUUCUGCUAUGAAUGAUAUUUAUGAUGAUGCUAGUACCUUGCUUGAUGAUAAUGUGCCACUAGGUGAAUUUCUUGAUGAACAAAUUGCUAGAACUAAAGCUUUUGAGAAUGCUGAAACUGAUGAAAUUAUUGAAACUAAUGAAGAGCUUGAAACUGAAAAUCUUGAAACACUUAUUAGAACUAGUUCUCCUAGAUAUGAAUUGCUUAAGGUAUCGAAAGGUUAUGUUAUGGAUGAGGAGAAAACUAGAGACUUUCUUUCUUGCAAUGAUAGGGAUGAUCUUAAGAAAUUAUUAUGCAAACUUAGGGAGAACACUUAUACCUUGAAAUUUAGUGAGAUAUCAUCUUAUAAUGCUACCGCCGAACUAAGCAAAAUAAGAUUCAUAAAGGAUAAACAUCACAUGCAAUCAAUAUAAGUGAUAUGAUAUGGUCAUCAUCAUCUUGUGCCUUUGAUCUCCAUCUCCAAAGCACAGUCAUGAUCACCAUCAUUACUAGCUUGACACCUUAAUCUCCAUCGAAGCAUCAUUGUCGUCUCGCCAACUAUUGCUUCUACGACUAUCGCUACCGCUUAGUGAUAAAGUAAAGCAAUUACAUGGCGAUUGCAUUUCAUACAAUAAAGCGACAACCAUAUGGCUCCUUCCAGUUGCCGAUAACUGUGUUACAAAACAUGAUCAUCUCAUACAAUAAAAUUUAGCAUCAUGUCUUGACCAUAUCACAUCACAACAUGCCCUACAAAAACAAGUUAUACGUCCUCUACUUUGUUGUUGCAAGUUUUACGUGGCUGCUAUGGGAUGAGCAAGAACCGUUCUUACCUACGCAUCAAAAACCACAGCGCGGUAUAGUGAUUGCUUUUUGAUCUUCAGAAAGAACCCUGUUCAUUGAAUCCGAUUCAACUAAAGUUGGAGAAACCGACACCCACCAGCCACCUGUGUGCGAAGCAUUUCGGUAGAACCGGUCUCGCGUAAGCGUAUGCAUAAUGUCGGUCUGGGACGCUUCAUCCAACAAUACCGCCAAAUCAAGAAUCAACUAGUGACGGCAAGCAAUAUGUAUAUAACCACGCCCACAACUCCUUUGUGUUCUACUCGUGCAUAUAACAUCUAUGCAUAAACCUGGCUCGGAUGCUACUAUUGGGGAACGCAGUAAUUUCAAAAAAAUUCCUACGUACACGCAAGAUCAUGGUCAUGCAUAGCAACGAGAGGGGAGAGUAUUGUGCAUGUACCCUCGUAGUCUGUAAGCGGAAGCGUUAUGACAAUGCAGUUGAUGUAGUCGUACAUCUUCACGAUCGACCGAUCCUAGUACCGAAAGUACGACACCUCCGCGAUCUGCACACGUUCGGCUCGGUGACGUCCCACGAACUCACGAUCCAGCAGAGCAUCGAGGGAGAGCUUCGUCAGCACGACGGCGUGAUGAUGGUGAUGUUGAUGCUACCGGAACAUGGCUUCGCCUAAGCACCGCUACGAUAUGACCGAGUUGGAUUAUGGUGGAGGGGGGCACCGCACGCGGCUAAGAGAUCAAUGAUCAACUUGUGUGUCUACGGGGUGCCCCCUCCCCCGUAUAUAAAGGAGUGGAGGAGGGGGAGGGCCGUCCCUCUACUAUGGCACGCCCUGGGGAGUCCUACUCCCAUCGAGAGUAGGAUUCCCCCUUCCAUGUAGUAGGAGUAGGAGAGAAGGAAAGGGAAGAGAGAAGAGAAGGAAGGAGGGGGCGCCGCCCCUCCCCACUAGUCCAAUUCGGACUAGGCUUUAGGGGGCGCACGGCCUUCCCUAGGCAGCCCCUCCCUCUCUCCCCUAAAGCCCAUUAGGGCCCAUAUACUCCCCCCCUGGGGGGGGGGGGUUCCGGUAACCCCCGGUACUCUGCUUAAUGCCCGAACUCACCCGGAACCAUUCCGAUGUCUAAACAUAGUCAUCCAAUAUAUCAAUCUUUAUGUCUCGACCAUUUCGAGACUCCUCGUCAUGUUCGUGAUCAUAUCCGGGACUCCGAAAAACCUUCGGUACAUCAAAACAUAUAAACUCAUAAUACCAACCGUCACCGAACGUUAACCGUGUGGACCCUAUGGGUUCGAGAACUAUAUAGACAUGACCGAGACACGUCUCUGGUCAAUAACCAAUAGCGGAACCUGGAUGUUCAUAUUGGCUCCCACAUAUUCUACGAAGAUCUUUAUCGGUCAAACCGCAUAACGAUAUACGUUGUUCCCUUUGUCAUCGGUAUGUUACUUGCCCGAUAUUCGAUCGUCGGUAUCUCAAUACCUAGUUCAAUCUCGUCACUGGCAUGUCUCUUUACUCGUUCCAUAAUGCAUCAUCCUGCAACUAACUCAUUAGUCACAUUGCUUGCAAGGCUUAUAUUGAUGUGCAUUACUGAGAGGGCCCAGAGAUACCUCUUCGACAAUCAGAGUGAAAAAUCCUAAUCUCGAUCUAUGCCAACUCAACAAACACCAUCAGAGACACCUGUAGAGCACCUUUAUAAUCACCCAGUUACAUUGUGACAUUUGGUAGCACACAAAGUGUUCCUUCGGUAUUCAGGAGUUGCAUGAUCUCAUAGUCAUAGGAACACGUAUAAGUUAUGGAGGAAGCAAUAGCAACAAACUAAACAAUCAUCGUGCUAAGCUAAUGGAAUGGGUCAAGUCAAUCACAUCAUUCUUUAGUGAUGUGAUCCCGUUAAUCAAAUGACAACUCAGGUCUAUGGCUAGAAAACUUAACCAUCUUUGGUUCAACGAGCUAGUCAAGUAGAGUCAUACUAGUGACACUCUGUUUGUCUAUGUAUUCACACAUGUACUAAGUUUCCGGUUGAUACAAUUCUAGCAUGAAUAAUAAACAUUUAUCAUGAUAUAAGGAAAUAUAAAUAACAACUUUAUUAUUGCCUCUAGGGCAUAUUUCCUUCAAUGAAACUGAAACUGUUAUCGCACAUCUUACUAAGCUGAAUGACAUAGCCACUGGUUUUGCUCAUGAUGAGAAAAUUCGCUACUAUUAUAUUCUCAAAUUAUUUCCGUUCUCAUUAAAGGUGAUGCUAAAACUUGGUAUAAUACUCUUGCUCCUGGUUGUGUGCGUAGUCCCUAGGAUAUGAUUCAUUACUUCUCUGAGAAAUAUUUUCCUGCUCAUAAGAAACAAGCUGCCUUAUAGGAAAUAUUUAACUUUGUGCAAAUUGAAAAAGAGAGUCUCCCACAAGCUUGGGGGAGGCUUCUCCAAUUUCUUAAUGCUUUGCCUGAUUGUCCUCUUAAGAAAAAUGAAAUACUUGAUAUCUUCUAUAAUGGACUAACCAAUGCUUCUAGGGAUUUCCUAGAUAGUUGUGCUGGUUGUGUUUUCAGGGAACAAACUGUUGGACAAGCUGAAUAACUAUUGAAUAACAUAUUGAAAAAUUAUGAUGAUUGGACUCUCCCUGAACCACCGCUUAAACCUACUCCAAAGAAGAGGGGUAUCUUAUAUCUCAGUCCCGAAGAUAUGCAAGAGGCAAAGAAAUCUAUGAAAGAAAAAAGUAUUAAAGCUGAGGAUGUCAAAAAUUUACCUCCUAUUGAAGAAAUACAUGGGCUUGAAACACCACCACCACCUAAGGUGGUAGAGGUAAAUUCUUUAAUUAAAUUCAAUGACAAUGAUAAUCCUUACAAUAUGCAUCCUAGUCAAUGCCUUUAUGAGUUUCAUAACUACAUUAGAAAGCAAGAUCACUUCAAUGCAAAUGUUAUGAAACAAUUGAAAUACAAUUCUUAUAUGAUUGCUCGCUUGAGUGACUUGUUCUUUAGAACUACCAAUGAUGUUACAGGUGUAGGAAAACAUGCCUCUAUGGUUCAAACUCAAUUAGAACAAGUUGCUAAAUCUCAAAGAGAAUUGCUUGAUGAAAUGAAUGGUAAUAUCAAUGAUCAUGCUGUUAGAGUAAUGACUAGAGGAGGUAGAAUGACUCAGGAACCACUUUAUCCUAAGGGUCACCCAAAAAUAAUCGAACAAGACACUCAAAGAGUUAACACGGAUGCACCUAGUCCUUCUAAAAAGAAAAAGAAGAAGAAAAAUGAUAGGACUUUGCAUGCCUCUAGUGAACCUGAAGUAGAAAAACCUCCUGAUGCUACUAAUGAUGUUUCUAUUUCUGACGCUGAAACUCAAUCUGGUAAUGAACACUCACCUUCUGAUAAUGAAAAAGAUAACGAUGAGGUUCAUGACGAUACUCAAACGAAUGAUAAAGAACCAGAUAAUGAUGUUGAAAUAGAACCAGCUGUUGAUCUUGAUAACCGACAACCCAAGAAUAAAAGGUACGAUAAAAGAGACUUUGUUGCUAGAAAACAUGGCUAGGAAAGAGAACCAUGGGUUCAAAAACCUAUGCCCUUUCCACCUAAGUCAACUAAAAAGAAAGAUGAUGAAGAAAUUGAGCACUUUGCUGAAAUGAUUAGGCCAGUCUUUUUGCGUACCCGCUUGACUGAUAUCUUAAAAAUGCCUCCCUAUGCAAAGUACAUGAAGGACAACAUCACCAACAAGAGAAAAAUUCCGGAAGCUGAAAUCUCCACCAUGCUUGCUAAUUACACUUUGAAGGAUGGAGUACCUAAAAAACUUGGAUAUCCGGGAAUACCAACUAUACCUUUCUCCAUCAAAGGAAACCAUGUGAAAACUGCUUUAUGUGAUUUAGGAGCUGGUGUUAGUGUUAUGCUUUUCUCUUUAUAUAAGAGACUUGAUUUGAAUAAGCUAACACCUACUGAAGUAUCUUUGCAAAUGGCUGAUAAAUCAACUGCCAUACCUAUCGGUAUUUGUGAGGAUGUGCCCGUUGUUGUUGCUAAUGUUACUAUUUUAACUGACUUUAUUAUACUUGAGAUGCCUAAGGACGAAAACAUGUCGAUUAUCCUUGGUAGACCCUUUUGGAAUACCGCAGGGGCUGUUAUUGAUUGCAAUAAAAGCAAGGUCACUUUUCAUAUCAAUGGUAAUGAGCAUACAGUGCACUUUUCGAAGAAACAAUUCCAAGUGAAUGAUAUUAAUGUUAUUGAAAAAUCCCCGACAGUCACUAUUGGAAGUUUUCAACCACCUCCACCUACUACCAAAAAGAAAUAUGAAAUGCUUACUGUUGGGGACAUUUAUAUCCCCGUUGAGGUAACUUAGUGUUUUUCAAAAGUUCUUCAGUUUCAUGCUAAUCGAAAGUGGUUGCUAAUAAGACUUGAUCAACCUUAUUAAUGAAUCAUUUUUGAGAGGUAUGAAGUUGAUGAAUUUAGUAAGCACUAUGUUCUGUCCUUAUCUUUUGUUUUCUAUUUUUAUUAGUUAAAUAAAAUAAAAUGCCAUUGUUUGUCUGUUUUCUGAAUUUCCCGUGCAAUAAAAAAUAACCCCAAAAUAAAAGUUCUCAGAAUGCUCUGAAAAUUUAAUAUGAUUUUUUCUGAAUAUUUAUGAAUUUUGAUGCAAAUAACAUCAUAGGGGGGGGGGGAUGCACCAGGUGGGCACAACCCACCAAGGCGCGCCCUGGUGGGUUGUGGUCCCCACGUGGGCCCCCUCACUUAUAUCUUCAUCCCAUAUUGCCACCUACCUCCAGAAAAAAAAUCACCUUCACUCUCUCUCUCUCUCAUGUUCUUGCUCUCAAACCUGCGAAUUUCGAUUUCUUUGCUCAAAGCCCCAUUUAUGAAACUAUUUGGGGCAUUGUUGCUUGGUAUGUGACUCCUCCGUUGGUCCAAUUAGUUUUUGAUUUAGUGGUUUAUAUUUUGAAUAAUUAGUUACUCUUGGUGCUGCUGUAGAUGAGUUUGCAUGUUGAAUUCUUAGAGUUCUAAGUAGUUUGAAUGCUUGAUAUGGCCUCUAUGCAUCCCUAUGAGUAGUUGCUAUCAUUCUUGUGAAGUUUUGUUGAGAAAAAAAUUUGCGGACUAAAAAUUUCAGAAUUUUGUUCAUAGGAAAAAGAUGAGUAUCUUUAGGAAGUUUGUUUCCAAGAAGAACUCCAAGGGAGUUACUGGAGAGUCAUCUGAUAGCGAUCUCCGCACCCGGAGAAUGGCGGAGGUACGGCCAUGCGAAUGGCCGCAUAACCCAUUCAUAGAAGGGGCCGGAAUCCAUCAAGAGUUUGCACAAUAUUCUGCUAAUGCCGGCCUCACCGACUUCAUCGCAACUGAGUGUGAAAAAUACCAUCUCCUCACAAAUUCCUUUGUGCAAAGUUUUCAUUUCAUAAGUAGGAAUAAUCCCCCUGAGGUGCAGUUUAACUUAUAUGCUGAAUCCCAUCAGACACCACUUACUGAAUUUUGUGACAUAUGCUUGAUCCCUUAUGAUGGGAAUUUAGUAGAGCCUAGGAUCGAGGAGUUUGAUGGUUUUACCACACUCUGACAAUGGGGAAUGAGAGAGGGGUGUCAGGUGUCACCGCCACUAGCUUACACUUUCCGGCUGUACAUUAUUUUGCUCUAUUCAUUACAAAGUGUUUGCUCGCUAGAGAGAAGGUAGGUGCACUCAGUGCCCCAGACUUUGCUGUUUUACACCGUGCACUUUACGGAAACAACACUUAUAGCUUGGGAGCUAUUAUGGCACAUCACAUCCACAUUAACAGAUCCAAGGGUAAAAUACAUGGUGGUAUUUAUGCUACUCGCUUGGCGAGUCACUUUAAUGUUCAAAUACGCCAGCACGAUUAUCCCUUGCCCAAGGUUUACCUAGAUCGCUCGGCUAUGGCACACCACCACUUUAUUGAUAGCGAGAACACCACUAUGGAUGUUCCUUAUAACUUGGUUUUUAGUGAGAUUACCCGUGAUGUUAUUCUGUUGCCUCCACCUGUUUGUUUGGUCCUAUUACUAGGGGCGGAUACAUGAUUAUGCCUGAGGACAUUGUCGCCUACCGGAAUGACGUGGCUGCAACAUAGCAGGAGCCUCAGGAGUGGGACCCUCAGGUGCCCGCUCCUCAGCACUUUAACGUGGGACCCAAUGGUUUCUUCGAGUGGUGAUUACCAAGUUAGGCCAAAAGCCUAAGCUUGGGGGAGUACGUAUUUCCAUAGACAUUACAUUCAUUUUCACACUUUUCCAUUCCAGUUGUCGGUGUCCAUACUUUUUCAUUGUAUUAUCCAUGCUAGUUUUAUUUUCUCGCCUUCUUCUUAUGUGUCUAAAAAACUUUGAGAAAAUCCAAAAAUAUAUUUCUUGCUUCUUUUCGAUUUUUCUUCCUAGUUUAAUUAGUUGUAGUAGUAAAAAGAAAACCCAAAAAGAUUUCCUUGUUCUUCUUUUGCUUGUUGGGAGCUUUCUCGUGUAAAUAGUUUUUCUCGUUUUUUCCCUUUUAGUUGCUUGUUCUAGAAAAACCAAAAACUCCAAAAACAUUUCAGUGUGUUUCUCUGAAUUUAUUUUCUUUUUACCGAGUCAUACCGAGGAGAAGACCACGAUGAAAAUGUUGAGUAGCUCUCAUAUACAUUAUUGUUGAUCUAACAAAGAGCCCAUAUUACCUUGUAUUCUCCUUUUGAAUAAAAUGUUUGCAGAUUCUAGCUUAGUCCACGACACUCUUGCACUAUUACUAUUUUCAUAUCAUUCGGUCGUGCAAGUGAAAGGCAAUCAUGACGAUAUUUGACGAACUAGCUGUGGCAAAGAGAAACGGGUACGAACUCAACUUGUUCUGUUGUUGUAAAUAUGUUUAACCUAGUAUCCAUGAUUCAACCUAUUAUGAUCAAACAUGUUUGCAAUGACAAUGAGAGAUUAUAGUUUCCUAUGCCAUGCUUAAUUAGCUAGGAUUGGAUAAUGAUUUAUCUUGGAUGUCAACAUUGCGUUAAAAUGAUUGUGAUGUAGUAUGAUGAUAUGGUAUCCUCCUCUGAAUGUUCGAGUGGCUUGACUUGGCACAUGUUCAUGCAUGAAGUUGAAUCAAAACCAACAUAGCCUCUAUGAUUUUUAUGUUCAUGGUGUUCAUAUCCUACUCAUGCUAGUAGCCAAUGUUACUUAUGCAUAAUGCAUGUUCAUGGCCGUUUUCGCUCUCUAGCUGGCCGCUUCUCAACCUAAUUGCUAGCCUUCGCCUGUACUAAGCGGGACUUCUGCUUGUGCAUCAAAAUCCUGAAACCCAAGUUAUUCUAGAUGAGUCCACCAUACCUACCUAUAUGUGGUAUUACCCUGCCGUCCUAAGUAAAUUUGCAUGUGCCACCUCUAGAAACUUCAAAUAAUUAUCCUUUUUUGCGUGCCUGGAUUGUUCAUAGAGCGACAGGAGGUAGUCAGUAUCUUCCAUGCUAAGCGGGUUAUUCUCAUGAUGAGUGUUUAUUCACUCGUCCUUGCACGAGAGGGGCGGUAAGAGGGAUUCCCAGUCCUGAAUUCAAAUUGCAAAUAAUUAAACAAAACUGCCCUAGGACUAUUGUUGGUAUGGAUGGUACCCGUUGUUUCGGACAAGCCGUGGAGUGUGAUUGUUAGUGGAAGGGGAGUAAACCUUUACUUUUAUCGCUUGGGAACCGCCACUAAUGUGUUUAGCAUGGAAGAUACCGCUAAUGGCCGCGAAGUAAACAAGAAGGGUGCAUUUCUCAAAAUUUUAUUUACCUUUGUUUUAAAAACUUGAGCUCUGGCACCACUACAAAUCACUGCUUCCCUCUACGAAGGGACUAUCUAUUUACUUUUAUGUUGUCUCAUCACCUUCUCAAAUAAGCGCCAGAACCUGAGAGCACUAUUUUCAUCCUAAUGCAUUGUGUGUAGCUAAUGUUGGGUGCAUCAUGACUGGAUCUUUUCUACCAUGAAUUACAAUGUUUAGUCGCUGCUUGAACUUUGGAGGUGCUCUGCAUUUAUGUUUUGCGGUCUCAGAAAGGCUAGCGAGAUACCACUAUUGUCAUAUUAUAUCAUGGUUGUUUUGAUAAAGUGUUGUUGUUUCAGAUAUCUUAUUAUUGCUUGCUAGUUGAUUAUGUCAUUCAUAUGAGUUAAUAUAAUUUUUAAGAGUUAUUGUCGAGAUGGUUAGUUAUAAUUUUUGCUGAAAACCUGGGUGCUACUUAAGCUUAUUUAUGUAAACAAGAGCAAAAGAGUUCAUAAAAGUUUUUAUUUUUCACUUUCAGUUUAUCAACUGAAUUGCUUGAGGACAAGCAAAGGUUGAUAUGUCUCCAUCAUAUCUACUUUUCCUAAUGCUUUUCCCAUGUUUUGGACUCUAAUUUUGCAUGAUUUGAAUGAAACUAACCUAGACUGACGCUGCUUUCAAUAGAACUACCAUGGUGUUGUUUUUGUGUAGAAAUAAAAGUUCUCGAAUUGGAACGAAACUUUGCGAGGAUUUUUUAUUCGAUAAAUAAGAAUUUAUGGAGCCAAGAACCACCGAAGGGGGGGGGGGGCACCUGGGUGGGCACAACCCACCAGGGCGCCCCCCUCCGGGCGUGCCCAGGUGGGUUGUCCCCACCUGGUGGCCCCGCAUACCUCAACCCUAAUACUAUAAAAUCACAUAUUUGGAGAGAAAAAUCAGGGAGAAAGAAUUAUUGCGUUUCACGAGACGGAGCCGCCGCCACCUCCUGUUCUUCAUCGGGAGGCCAGAUCUGGAGUCCGUUUAGGGCUUCGGAGAGGGGGAUCUUCAAUCUUCGUCAUCACCAACCCUUCUCCAUCGCCAAUUCCAUGACGCUCCCCACCGGGAGUGAGUAAUUCCUUCGUAGGCUCACUGGUCAGUGAGGAGUUGGAUGAGAUUCAUCAUGUAAUCGAGUUAGUUGUGUUAGGGCUUGAUCCCUAGUAUCCAUUAUGUUCUGAGAUUGAUGUUGCUAUGACUUUCCCAUGCUUAAUUCCUAUCACGUUGGGCCCGGGUGCCAUGAUUUUAGAUCUGAACCGUUUAUGUUAUCACCAUUAUAUCUAUGUUCUAGAUCCGAUCUUGCAAGUUAUAGUCACCUACUACGUGUUAUGAUACGACAACCCCAGAGUGACAGAAGUCGGGACACUUCCUGGUGAUGAUCGUAGUUUGAGGAGUUCAUGUAUUCACUAUGUGUUAAUGCUUUGUCCCGGUUCUCUAUUAAAAGGAGGCCUUAAUAUCCCGUAGUUUCCAAUAGGACCCCGCUACCACGGGAGGGUAGGACAAAAGAUGUCAUGCAAGUUCUUUGCAUUAGCACGUAUGACUAUUUACAUAAUACAUGCCUACAUUAUAUUUAUGAACCGGAGCUAGUGCCGUAUCACCCUAGGUUAUGACUGUUAUAUGAUGAAUAUCAUCCAACGAAUUCACCGAUCCAAUGCCUAUGAAUUUCUCUUAUAUUGUUCCUGCUAAGUUACUACUGCUACUAUUACUAUUGCACUUGCUACAAAAUCAUUAUUGUCAUUGUUACCGUACCUAUUUCUGUUGCUACUACUAUCAAAACUAUCAUAUUACUUUGCUACUGAUCACUUUGUUACAAAUAAUGAAUCUCCAGCUGUGGUUGAAUUGACAACUCAGCUGCUAAUACUUGCAAAUUUUCUUUGGCUCCCCUUGUGUUGAAUCAAUAAAUUUGGGUUGAAUAAUCUACCCUCGAAAACUAUUGCGAUCCCCUAUACUUGUGGGUUAUCAGAAUGCUACCUAACAUAUUUAUCCAUGUAAUUUUAUUUAUUGUGACAUGAAUAUUCAGAUCAAUAAGAUUCAAAAAUUAUAGAUACAUUGGAGACGUAUCAAUCACCCAAGAUAAAAAGAGCACCAACCAAAACAGUGGUGUCUGCUUUGAUGCAGCAAACACCAAUAUGGCAAAGGACACAUAUUAUGGUUACAUAGAGGACAUAUGGGAACUUGAAUGUGGACGAGAUUUUAAGGUCCCUUUGUUUUGGUGCAAAUGGGUCAAUCUGUCAGGAGGCGGGGUACAGGUAUGUUAGAAAUAUUCCCUAGAGGCAAUAAUAAAGUGGUUAUUAUUAUAUUUCCUUAUUCAUGAUAAUUGUCUAUUGUUCAUGCUAUAAUUGUAUUAACUGGAAACCGUAAUACAUGUGUGAAUACAUAGAUCACAACAUGUCCCUAGUGAGCCUUUAGUUGACUAGCUCGUUGAUGUAGCGACCCGAUCCCAAUGGACCAUAGUCUCCGUGCUUAAGUGUCAUCCCUGGUUCGGUAUUGCUGACACACACAGUACUCGAGGAUUUAUUGCAGAGUUCAAUCACACACUUAUUACGUCGAUUGUCUCAAAUAGAGUACUUAUUAAAUAUGGCCGAAGGCCAUCUAAAUAAGAUAAAUGUGGAAGCUUCGAAGAUAAAUGAGUCCAUCCAACUCCACGGAAAAACUGAGUGCAUGACAAUGACCUAUCGCACCUUACUCUUCGUUUGAAAACUCUGCAACAUGAUACGUUGCAGCCGUGUAGGUCAGCACAUGGAAUAUGCUAGCAAGAUAACACAAUAGAGCAAUGAACAAAUAACAACUAUCACUACAUGCAUAUUUGGCUGGUGGAGGCUCUAUGGUUUUCAUUUGCAUAAAGCUAAUUUUCCCAUACAACAAAGCAAUAUAUUUUAUUUAACUACAAAGUUUAUGCCAUUAUUGAGAAGGUACCCCCAACUCAAUCGCAAAAUAGUAAUUAAUAACCCAACAGAUUCACUAAGCAAAGUGAUGAGAUCAAACAAUAAUUCAAGUACCAGAUACUCAAGAUGUCCAUAACCGGGGACACGACUAACCAUGAUUGGUUUAUACACUCUGUAGAGGUUUGCACACUUUUCCCCACAAGACUCGAUCUCCUCUGUUGUAUUUAUCUCACUACACGAUGGUUGAGAAACGGAUGACCGAGAUACAGUCUUUCGGAAGAGGUCCCCUUAACUGAUAGAUAGGCCGGUACACCUACAAUCCCCUACAUCUGCUAGCCCAUCAUGGAAAGGAUUCCCACAACUUACUCAACUAUGCCAGAGCCCAUAAUGGCUUGUGGCUGCACACAGAAGUUUAUAGCAUGAAUAAUAUUAUGAUCCCUUUGAGCCUGGGUGGCAUUCCAUAGGAUGAUCACACGGGUACCCCGAGAUCUCCUAGGACAACACUGGAUUCCCCAGGUGCCCACAAUCAAUCCACCCAGAUGUGUAUUAAAGUAGCCACCUUAAGUUUCCCUUAGUUUAAUAUAACUCUCACAUCUUUCAUGAAUCUCAUAUACCAAUCCACGUCUACGAGCAUAGCAAAGUAGUAUAAGCAUAACGUAUAAUACCCGGGGUUUGAUAAAAGACAAUAGGUUCCUACCUCAUCAACUACUUCCCACACCCACAUAUUAUCAAAUCCUACUCAUGCAAUGUUUGAGUGUUGAAACUAAUGCAUAAAAACCGGGUAAUAAAAGGGAUAUGAUCAAAGUGUUACUUGCCAUGCUGACGAUCGGAAAACCCUAGAGAUUCGUAGUAGCAAGCCUCACACUCCGGAAACUCUAUCGUGAACAAACAAUAGCAUACAUAAGCACUCAAGCAUAAGAUGCAAAGUUAAAAACAAAAUAAAAGAUCUAAACAGAAAUUUCAAGUGAAGAGCUUCGAUUUGCAAAAAUAAUCAAUCGAAUCAGAGUUACGAAACACAAACCACAAUCAAAAGAAGUUCAAAUUCAAAUCUACUUGAAACCAAAUUUUAAAUUUUCAAAAUCAUGUUCAAGUUGUUUAUCUGGACAAUGGGAAACAAGAUGAAGAUUUUGGCGUUGGUUUCACUGGAUUUGGAUAAAUGAGAAAAAAGAAGUGAUGGUUUAAAAAUCAGGGACUAAUCUAUAAGAAAAUUAAUUGCAGAUAGGUCCCUGGCUGAAAAUAAACUGAAAAAGAAAAAUCUAUCGGAUGAACGUCUGCUAACAGAGACUAAUGAACAAAUUCGUUCGUUAACAGAACCAAUCAGGUGAACGCUCACUAAAUAACUUAACCUAAUAAAAUAAACUGAUCUAAAACAAAAAAACCGAAACUAGAAAAAAA
rnacentral:lncRNA from 1 species